GGGGGCUAGCGUUCUGUGCUCCUGCCUGUUGUAAUGAGAGAAGCACUUCUCCUUUCAGAUCUUACCUUCACCAUCAUCCCAUGAGGCCUCCUGAGAUUGCCCCUGGACAGCCCCUUGGAUGCUUCCUGCCCGUGCCCGGAAUUGUCUACCUGCCCUCCCCAUGAGGGUGUGAAGGGAUAUCUGGUCUUAAGGAUAGAAAUGUUCACAAAAUGGACCGGGCCUGUUAUCCUGAGAGAACUGCGUACUACAGCAUUGUAGUACCUCAACAGCUGAGCUGACCCAUCUCUUACUCAAGUUUUCUGGAGGUUCCUGACUGCUCUGUUUUGGAGCCCCGUGUCCUGCCAGGCGUGGGAGCCACAGAAAUCCCUGGCGCCCUGCAGCUAGCGGCUUAUCGAGGUAACUCCCAGGUGGUAAGUCAGCA
rnacentral:lncRNA from 1 species